UACGGGGGGGGCAAGCGUUGUUCGGAAUUACUGGGCGUAAAGGGCUCGUAGGUGGCCAACUAAGUCAGACGUGAAAUCCCUCGGCUUAACCGGGGAACUGCGUCUGAUACUGGAUGGCUUGAGUUUGGGAGAGGGAUGCGGAAUUCCAGGUGUAGCGGUGAAAUGCGUAGAUAUCGAGAGGAACACCUGCGGCGAAGGCGGCAUCCUGGACCGGCAUUGACGCUGAUGAGCGAAAGCCAGGGAGCAAACGGG
rnacentral:rRNA from 1 species